CAGGUGUCUAUAUUGAACAAAUCAACUAAUAGUUGUCUAAUGAUUUAAUUGCUUAUAUUUAUUAUAAUUACUUAUAAGUAUGUUAUUUUCUGUAUCUGUUUCCUUUGAUUGUUGCUGCUAAUAAUCAAAAUCCCUUUAAUCCUUUAAUAUUCCAAAUAAGUGAGCAAACAAAUAAAAAUAAAAACAAAACAAUUGAGAGACAAGCUGUUUCACCAGUAUUCUAUUAGUCUCAGGCAGUACAGUAAGUCAGCGGACCCUCAUCUGAUCUCUAGAACAGUGUAGUAAUACAGGCCCUUGCUUGUUGUGUCAACAACAACCAGCUUGCUUAGUGCUUUCAGAUGUGAUAUAUGACACAGCUAAUACCCCAAAACCAGUCUCUCUACUCCCUGCCCUCUUUCAGUUUGUGUUCAAAAUAUUACACUGCUUAUGAGGGUGGCUGAAACACACUUUACUAUUGCCUUUCACAAAAGCACAGAACUAAUUUCUAAGGUCAUGCCUUAGAAAUCCUUGAUGUGUCAUUACAGUGCAUAUACUCCAUGUUCAAGGGCAGGGCAGAUUUUUUUUUUUAAUUAAAAAAAAAAAAAAAAAAAAGGCCUAAGGAAGAAAGAAACACUUAUGUCAGUGCAUCAUGUUGCCAGAUGUUACAGUAGGCUACAGUGUAUGUGUAGCUUCCUGUGGUUUAUCUCCUCUGUACAGAGAGAGAGAUUAGAUAAAUCUGCAAAAAAAUCAUAUAUUAACGCAAUUAUGUGCAAUUACUUUGCAGUAAGGUUUGCUGUAAAAUGGAUAAAACAGUAACGUGCUGCGUGAAUGAAGUGGAAAACAGUUGAUGGGAGGAUAUGCAGGUUGUGCCUGAGGUCACAGAGUGCAGAAAGUGAAGGCCGUAGAGUACAGCUGAGAGCCAAGCGCCUCCUUAUUGGUCAGCCCGGACAGAAAAGGGGCGUGUCAAAGCGCGUGAGUCCGCCUAGAAAAAGUGAGGACAGAGACAGUGUCCAGAGCGGGAGGGUGAUGUCUGUCUUAUCCUCAGCUACGGCUCGGACGGAGCGAGAUGAGCCAUGAAUCCACCUCACUUUGAGUUGCCAUCUUUUCCAGCGCUCUGCAUACUAACAGCGUUACGUAAUUAUACAGUUAUACGAAUGACCGGGUUACGCCAAAAAACCACACACUACCGCACUAAAUACCGUACGAGGCGUAGUUUUGUGCGUACUGUUUCGACGGGUAGUGAUUCAACGCUCGCUUAAAGUUCGAGCCCGGUCAAAAACAAACAAACAAACAGCCGUUUGAAACGGGAAGCGCGUCGGUACUGAAAGUUGGAGGCAGGUCGAAAACUGUGUACAAGACUGAAGAACAUGGCGAGGGUCGGUUUAGAGAACGGCGUCUUAAUUACCUGCUCGAAAAGAGCGCAUAAAACUCCGAGGCGAGCCGGUAAACACCGCGACGUGAACAGGAACGAGGCAGCGAGCGGAAAAAGCCACUGACGACCGAGUUCAAGUCUUCAGAGAAAUUCGCUGAAAGCAAGGCUGACAACGAUGUGAAAACUCCGCCUGUUCCACGCCUGACCUUUCCCACAACAAUCAUUGCAUGCAUUAAGCGAGGAGCCCGAAAGCAAGAGAAAGCGCUUGUCCAGUAAGAGGAAAUAGGCCUCAAGAAUGCGAAAAGCUCCAAUUCAGGCGGGUUCACAGGGUCUGGGAGUGGCCACAUCCUCAAGAGAGGGGGGAUCUUGGACUGGAGCCAUGAGAGCUGUGCUGGCCAGGCAGAUGACGUAGGUCUGUGUGAACACCCAAAGCGCCCCCCCCUUUCUAUUUCUAUAGUGGUAUUGCCCUUUAUGUACCCCCACCCACCCCACCAAUAAAAAAUAUAUGCAGCUUGUGUCUCCCUCAGGCCCCUAAGAACAGAGCUCAGGUGGCUAGUCUGCUGAUGAAUGUAGCUCUAUUAAUAGAAAGUUCUGCUUAUCUCAGAGUUGAAUGACAAACAUUGAGCACAUUUCUCACAGGUCUGAAAAAGAUAUGCCCUCACCCACUUUAGUUUCACUCCUUAAUUGAUGCCGUGAAGCAUCAAAAGCUUAAUACAGUUAUUUCUGAGCCGAGCAUGACCAUGGGGCGGUCGGGUAAAGUCGGUUAGUUUUUAAACACCAGGCCAGGCCGUCUCAGCUUAACCCAGGAGCCUUGUGCCGUGUGAGCUUCAGGGAAUGUAAACAUCCUACACUCUCAGCUGGAGCCAAGACAAGGCCGGGAGUGGGGUGUUUGCGCUCUCUGGCUUACGGAUGCCGUGGCAGCACAGAGGAAAUGGAAACAGCACCACAAAGGAAACCGGCUUGUCUGCCAUCAUAUCAGUUGAGCUCAUUGGACACAUCCGGAGGCUUUCAACGUCUGGUACGUCAACGCAGUGCUAUAAUCUUGAUGUUUCUCCAUUUUUGUGUGGCUUCAUCGCUUGUGAAUUGUGAAACAUCUUCAAGAUUGUAACAUUGCAUUGAGAUACUUCUACUAGACAUUCAAAAUAGCCUUGAUGACUGAAAACCUUCAUAGACAACAAGAGGCGUCUGUUCUCUCUGUGUGUCUAGAGGCCAGUGUGGGUGGGUGUGGUUUGUAGAACUCUGAGGAAGUAGAGCUCCAUUGUGAGCAUUGCUGUUGGGUCAGGAGGUGAGGCUGAAGGCUCUUUUUGAAGCACUCUAACCCAGCAGGGUGGGACAACUCCAAAUGUUUCCAAGCACUCCUGUCCAGACUAAGCUGUUGUCACGGCGACAGAGUGGCCCAAGAGGAAAUGGCUAUUUAUACCCACCAAGUGCAGAAAGAGAGGCACCCUUCCAAUGGGCGGCAUUUGACUCACAUCCUCCAGCAAUCUGAGUUUGGGCCUUUGCAUGUACCCACGUUCCCCUGUCAUCCAGCGUGUAUAUAUUUAAAAAAAAAAAAAAAAAAAAAAAAAGAGAGAGAGAUACUUCUGCUACCAUCUUGCAGUGAUUUAAACCAUGCUAUGGUUGUUCUUUCCUGGCCCCACACAUGGACACAAACACUUAAGCAACUUCUAAUCUCUGAGAAAUUACUGGGCUCACUCUCCAAAUGCAGUGUCUUGUUGUAUGUGCUGUCUGGUUGGUUUGUUUCCGCUCAGCCUUCUGUCCCACAGUGACACUCAGGAUGCAUGCCUGCUGGUUCGUGUUCCCACCCUCUCCCACUGCAAUUAUUUCAGUCUACUUUUAUUCUGUGACCUCAUUACAGCAGCUGCUCCUUCUUAAUCCACAAGGUGGCAGACUGUCACUAAAGAUGGCCUGGGAAAUGCAUUUAUAGAACAGGUUGCGCAAACACUUUUAACAGAAAAUUUGUUUGAUAUGGGUGGCUUUAAAGUUCAGCCAAAAACUGAACUCCAAAAGCAAACAAGCUACAAGAAAUCAGCAUUUAUUUUACUGUUUGAUUGGAGUUGCAUUACUAUGUCAAGUAUAAAGAGGAAAAGAUGAAGUAGGUCUUACUGUUGUGACACUCGAGUCAGGAUUGCUGUGUGUUUCUCACUGUUAUAUCUGUCCUCUGCAGAUGAGCAGCAUUUUGGGGAAUUGGAGUGAUGAAGUGAUGUUUACAUGGAGAGAAAUGAAGAAAACCAUUACGGCAAGAGUAAAUUCAUGUAAGAUACACUGAGUGUCCCUGAAGCUAAGUGGCAUCACUGUUGUGCAUUUGAAUCCUAAGAAUUUUUUUAUUAUUGUUUUUAAUUCCGACAUUCCCUGACCCUAUAUUUAGUGAACCAUAAUAGUAGUUUGUAAAUUCCUGUAAUGCCAAUGAAGAUCCUGGGCAGUGCAUUUGACACACAUUGUACUGCUGAAUAACUGGUAAGCAAUUUGGAUGUAAAAACAAGAACCACAUAAUGAAAUUGUAAUGCUAAUUCAAAAAGGUCAUUUUAAAAUCUUUGCAGCAAUUGUUUACUGGUUAACAGUUCACUGUUUUCCUGUGGGGGAGUUUGCAAUAACCUGAAACAGCACCUUGAUCACUUAUGCAAGGUUAUUGUUGAAUAUACAGUGUACCGUUAUAGUACUGUAUUUAAUUUAAAUGUUAUGUGCUGUAAUGUAUAUCUUGUUUAAUAAAUCAUUUUUUUUAAAAAUCAACCAUACUGCUUGUUGUGUGGUAACUCUACAGGUCCUACUAACAGGUUUUACUAAUCACGUGUUGAUUUGAUAAUAUCUUGAUUUGGAAAGUCCGCUGAAGUUCCGAUACUGUAACAUCCGUGUUUAGUUUCGGGAAUGUCCAAACUUUCAACCACAUGAGGAACUGAAACCAUGCUCUAUUUUUGCAGAACAUUUUUCAGUUGUUUUGAGCUGCUGCUGUGGCACUAAUAAUAAUAUGCACGUUCACAUGUGUAAUACUAAAAUAGGCUAAGAUACCACAGGUUACUCACAGGUCAUGAGGCUAAAACAUAGCUGAACCUCUGGUCUUCUGCUCUAAUUCAUGCUUAUACUCAUUUACACAGGCUAUAAAUAGUGAUGUCAACAUCAAGAUAUGUUAGUCUUGUUAACAGCAGAAAUUAUAAAGAGCUUUUAGCGUGAUUAGGCAAGAACAUACAAGCAUUUCAUUUCAUCUGUCUCAGAAACCGCUGCAGAUAUCUUUAAAUUCACAGCAGACAGACAUCUGCAUAUUGUACACAAAUAACUUUGCAAUGAAGGAUGUUAAUCACAGCUUCAGGUCCCUGGUUCAAUCCUGAGUUUCACAUGGUCUCCCUGUGAAUGCAUUGGUUUCCUCUGGGUUUUCCAUCUCUUCUUUUUGUGUGUGCAUGUGCAUGGUCCCCUGUGAUGGACAUUCUAGGUGUAUUCCUGCUUCAUGCCCAGUGCUACUGAGAGAGGCCUCUUGGUUGGCAAGUUCUGAACUUCCCUUUGUGUAUGUACAUACAGUACAUGAACACUUUGCCCUUUAGGAAAAGGAAAUUCAUUGGGGUUUCUUAUGUCUCACUAUUCUAAUGUUAUGAGUAUUUCCGUGUGAAUUGCCACAGUCCUUUUGCAGCUGGUAUUAAUCCUCUAAAGGUAAGAUUAAGAACAUUGUUACAUUGCACAAUGCUGAAUGUUUCAUAUCUGAUACAUACAUUCAUAUAUUAUACAUGGAAAUCAGAUGCCUUAAAAUGAGACAUUCACAAUCACAUGUACUAGGCAAAUACUGGCUCAUUCCCACUCAAGAACAGUCACUCUCUAAUACCUUCCUAGAGCUUUGUCAAGACCUUGCACUGAACACUUUUUAUGCCAGUGAAAAACAAACAGCACCUUUUCCUUUAUCACGCAGCAGGGUGCCAGAGCACUGACUGUACUGUGGAAAUUAAACUGAUGUGUAUUAUCUUCUCCAAACACCCUCCAGUCUCUCUAUCACAUUCUGUUUCUGGAACAUUCUUCUCCUGCCCUGUGACUGGCACACCAUAACAGCCUGCCAAAAAUGUUUGAACUGCUGCUCCCAGUUGAGGGAUGAGAGGGAUGAAGUUGAGUGUGUUAGAAUGAAAGAGAUGAAUGGAAGCACAUAAAAGAAAAAAAUCUCCAUCACUUCUAGAAUGAUUGGCGUGAUAGUGAUGGGCCCUAGGGCCUGCCCUGUGCACAUCCUGCACCUGCACUGGGCUUCUAUCUCUGCUUUCAGUCAGGUGGCCAGGGUUAACCACCCAAACAGAGAGAAAUGUUAAAACUGAGUGUCUGAAAGCCUUUGCUACUCUGCUCAGUGAAGCAAUGCAUCACAUUGGAGUUUCUAUCAGCAUUCAGUACUUUUGUGUUUAGAUGUGAAAAUACCACCUUUUAUAUCAGUCACAUUCUUACAUUUUUGCAGCACUGUUUCCAGAACAGAUUGCCUCAUGGCAGCAUUACAGACAUCACUGCUUUAACCUCCAGUGGACAAGCAAGGACAACUUGGCAAGGAAAAUCUCUCUCAGAUGGAGCAAAGAAACCAAGACUCAGCAGCAGGGUUUUUCAGUGGCUUGUAGACCUCACAGUGGUAGGAGUAGGAUCCAAAACGAAGUAUGGCAGUCUGUCCUGGAUUUCGUGAUUGCAGAAAUUAACACAAAAUCAAGGAAUUUUUUGUAGAUUUGGACCAGGACACGCCAUGUUGCGUCAUCACAAUGCACAUUCAGCGAAAGCCCCCUUCAAUUCACAUAUGUCGAACAUGAGUACAGCUUAAAGGUUUCAUUUACCAACAAACAUCACUGUGAAAG
ensembl:lncRNA